rnacentral:rRNA from 1 species
AAACCAACCGGGAUUGCCUCAGUAACGGCGAGUGAAGCGGCAAAAGCUCAAAUUUGAAAUCUGGCACUUUCAGUGUCCGAGUUGUAAUUUGUAGAAGUAGUUUUGGGACUGGUCCUUAUCUAUGUUUCUUGGAACAGGACGUCAUAGAGGGUGAGAACCCCGUAUGAUGAGGCCCCCAGUCCUUUGUAAAACGCUUUCGAAGAGUCGAGUUGUUUGGGAAUGCAGCUCUAAGUGGGUGGUAAAUUCCAUCUAAAGCUAAAUAUUGGCGAGAGACCGAUAGCGAACAAGUACAGUGAUGGAAAGAUGAAAAGAACUUUGAAAAGAGAGUGAAAAAGUACGUGAAAUUGUUGAAAGGGAAGGGCAUUUGAUCAGACAUGGUGUUUUGCGCCCUUUGCUCCUUGUGGGCGGAGGAUACGCAGCUCACUGGGGCCAACAUCAGUUUUGGGAGCAGGAUAAAUCUGUAGGAACGUAGCUUUCUUCGGGAAGUGUUAUAGCCUACGGGAAUACUGCUACCUGGGA